UGAGCAAUCUGCCCUUCUCUUCGGAAUAAGCGUUGGAAACGACGUCUAAUGCCGAAUACGACCUCCUUUCGCAUGAUCGGAGGUGGAAAGCUCCGGCGGAGAAGGAUGAGCUCGCGGCCUAUCAGCUAGUUGGUGUGGGUAAUGGCCCACCAAGGCGACGACGGGUAGCCGGCCUGAGAGGGUGACCGGCCACACUGGGACUGAGACACGGCCCAGACCUCCGUACGGGAGGAGC
rnacentral:rRNA from 1 species